AUGCCAAUGCUGCCGCCACAUAGCUCUGGCUCCUGCACCUCACCGCCGCCUCCCCAGAGCUGCACUCCGGCUACUACUUCGUCACCGUCGCCAGCGCGGAAUCAGUCGAGGACAGGUUCGAGGGCCGGAUCCCCAUCCCGCACACGGAGCGCGUCGUGGCGCCAGACUCGACGGGCAGACUCGACGGCGAUGCCCACCUCGCGGCGCAUCCGGUUUGCCGCCCGGCGAUGGAUCCAAGCGGCGUCGGCCCCCGCGCAGCCCCGACGACGGAUCCGAGGGCGACGCCCGACCCCCGACCCCCUGUGCUAG
rnacentral:rRNA from 1 species